GAGAUGGAGGCGAUCAACCCGGCGAUCUCGGCGGCC
rnacentral:sRNA from 1 species